rnacentral:sRNA from 1 species
GUUACUUGGAAGCCAGAGCCCUCAGGACUUGAUUAUAGAUAGGAUAUAAAUGUAGGUUUGGUGGUGGUGAUGGAUAUCCAGGAUAAGCAUGGCACCGCUUAGAGGUGCCAUGCUUCAGAGGGUGCCGUGACUUGGGGUGUGCCAGGGCCUCUUGGUCCAGACGCCUGGAAGACCCAAGUGGGGAUGACAGUGCAGUUGAAUAUGUGAGUUGGGAUCAGGAGAAGUCUAUGCAGGAGGUAAUGUAGAAAAUUAAUUUUAGGAAAUUGAAUCUUGCAGUGCUUGGCACAAUGCAUGAAAAGGGAGACUGAUGGCAUGUGGACUACUCAGAAAACUGUGGCAACACUGUUGGGUGCAAGGUGACCUUUUGAGAUGGGCUGACAGUGGGGACUGCCAACUCAUGUGUCUGUUUAGCUCAGCUUUUCCUGUACCCAUCCUCCGUCCCCCCAGCCAUGUGGGAAGGAAAUGUUUGGCCCUCUGACCCUCACUACAUCCCACAGACUGGGAUGGAAAGGUGUCUGAGAUUAAGAAGAAGAUCAAGUCGAUCCUGCCUGGAAGGUCCUGUGAUCUACUGCAAGACACCAGCCACCUGCCCCCCGAGCACUCGGAUGUGGUGAUCGUGGGAGGUGGGGUGCUUGGCUUGUCUGUGGCCUAUUGGCUGAAGAAGCUGGAGAGCAGACGAGGUGCUAUUCGAGUGCUAGUGGUGGAACGGGACCACACGUAUUCACAGGCCUCCACUGGGCUCUCAGUAGGUGGGAUUUGUCAGCAGUUCUCAUUGCCUGAGAACAUCCAGCUCUCCCUCUUUUCAGCCAGCUUUCUACGGAAUAUCAAUGAGUACCUGGCCGUAGUCGAUGCCCCUCCCUUGGACCUCCGGUUCAGCCCCUCAGGCUACCUCUUGCUGGCUUCAGAAAAGGAUGCUGCAGCCAUGGAGAGCAACGUGAAAGUGCAGAGGGAUGGAGGACGAAGGUUGGUUUGACCCCUGGUGUCUGCUCCAGGGCCUUCGGCGAAAGGUCCAGUCCUUGGGAGUCCUUUUCUGCCAGGGAGAGGUGACACGUUUUGUCUCUUCAUCUCAACGCAUGUUGACCACAGAUGACAAAGCGGUGGUCUUGAAAAGGAUCCAUAAAGUCCACGUGAAGAUGGACUGCAGCCUGGAGUACCAGCCUGUGGAAUGCGCCAUUGUGGUCAACGCAGCCGGAGCCUGGUCUGCGCAAAUCGCAGCGCUGGCUGGUAUUGGAGAGGGGCCACCUGGCACCCUGCAGGGCACCAAGCUACCUGUGGAGCCGAGGAAAAGGUAUGUGUAUGUAUGGCACUGCCCCCAGGGACCAGGCCUAGAGACUCCGCUUGUUGCAGACACCAGUGGAGCCUAUUUUCGCCGGGAAGGAUUAGGUAGCAACUACCUAGGUGGUCGUAGCCCCACUGAGCAGGAAGAACCGGACCCAGCGAACCUGGAAGUGGACCAUGAUUUCUUCCAGGACAAGGUGUGGCCCCAUUUGGCCCUGAGGAUCCCAGCUUUUGAGACUCUGAAGGUUCAGAGCGCCUGGGCCAGCUAUUACGACUACAACACCUUUGACCAGAAUGGCGUGGUGGGCCCCCACCCGCUAGUUGCCAACAUGUACUUUGCUACUGGCUUCAGUGGUCACGGGCUCCAGCAGGCCCCUGGCGUUGGGCGAGCUGUAGCAGAGAUGAUACUGAAGGGCAGGUUCCAGACCAUCGACCUGAGCCCCUUCCUCUUUACCCGCUUUUACUUGGGAGAGAAGAUCCAAGAGAACAACAUCAUCUGAGCAUGUGUGCUCUGCACUGGCUCCACUGGCUUGCAUCCUGGCUGUGUUCACAGCCUUCUUUGCUGCUUCCAUCUUCCCCAGCACUGUGCCAGGCCUUCUCCCCCUCCCCAGUGUCCUCUCCUCUCAGGCAGGCCAUUGCACCCACAUGGCUGGGCAGGUGCAGGCACUGAGGCCCAGGCCAAUAGCGAGUGAUGAGCGGGAUCCUAGGACUGAUCUGUAGCCCAUAUUGAUGUCACCCACCAGGGCAAUCCAUCUAGAGGCCUGAGCACCCUGGCCCAGGACUGGCUCCAUCCUGGCACUGACCAGGAAAGACUGCCUCUGACCCUCUUAGCAGACAGAGCCCAGGCAUGGGAGCACUCUGGGGCAGCCUGGCUCAGGUUUAUUGAUUUUUGUCUGUUUACCCUAUCCAUUAAUCAAUACAUGUAAUUAACUCCUUC